rnacentral:lncRNA from 1 species
GGGAAGUUGGUGCAUAGGAGUGGAAGACAGAUGGAAACUCCGAUGACCGGCUAUGCCCUAAUCUGGUGCUUGUACAACGUGAUGGAUAGGGUUUUCACCGUCAUCCCUCAUGUGCAUCUUGGAAAUGGGAGUUGAUUUUUGGUUCUAGAGUUAGAACAGAGUACAAAAGGAGAAGUCAAGUGGUUACCUUCUUAUCCUCGGUCGGAGAAGACAAAUGGUGACAGCGGCGUUAGAUGGGGGUUGUGGUGGUGCCGGCUAGGUGAUGGACCGGGAGAGACAUCAAUGUUUAUGCAACCGAUAGAGAAGAUAUAAUUAAUGUCAGGAGCCCAAGGAAGGUUGCCGACGGGAAGCACGAUGGCGACGCGGAAGAGAACAAGAGUCAAAAGAAGAUAUUGAUUACUGGUUGUUGUGUGGUUUUACCGCUUUUGCCUUUGCUCAAUACCAAUUCUGUGGGUACAGGCUAACCUUGAUGAGAUGAACCAAGCAAUAUUCGCUGCACGACAUCGGCAUAGGUAUUUGUUUGUAUCAUUUUUGUUUGGCGUAAAACACUUACCGAUAUGUUGUAACAAAAUGAGCCGGUACUGAAAGCCUGUCAUAACGAAUCAAACCGAUAAUGACCGAUUCUAAACCCAAUACAUGUCGAACCGAUAUCGGUUAAAUUCCCGCCGCGAAGCGCGGGGAUAUAACACUAGUUAAUAUUAAAACAUGUUUUAUCAGUCCUAACCCGGCAAUUAAUAGUCUAAGGUCAGUUUAUAACUGAAAGUCGCAAAAGCUUGACUUUUGCUUUGACUUUCAGUUCUGACAUAUUCAAGCUUAAUUCUCCCAUGUUUUAAGUUUCCAUUAGGACCACAUUACUUAAUAGUAUAACCCUCUGGAGUUAUAUUGCAUGGUGCCUAGUGGAUUGAAUUAUAUGCACUUGAUCGUAAUUAUGCUUAAUAAUGCCAUAAACGCCCUUUUGACAUACAACUGAGAUUUUUAACAAUGUGAAUGGACUAACACCUUUGCUACUGAUGUUUAGACAUGUCCCGAAAAUUUGACAUCAGUUUGAGGUCUAAAAUAGGAGUUAUGCUCAAUAGCGUAAUUAAGGAGCUUUUUAUCAUUUAAAUGGCGUAAUUAGCAUAAAGCCUACCUAAACCUGAUUUUUAAUACCAAACUUUUUACCUACUGAUGUAAAAUAAUAUUUUGGGAUUUUUGGAGAUUUUUAUUUAUUUUUAGGCUGAGCAUAACAUAGGAUUAUAGUUUGAUUUCGGUAAUUGUCGGUUUUACCCUUUUCAUGCAUAAAAUGAGUUUUACAUAACUUUUUAAUGCCAAACCUUUUGCUACUGAUUCUACAUGAUAAAUAAAGUAUUUUGAACUUUAUAAACUGAUCAAAAACUCAGAUUUCCUGUUUUAACCCGAAUAUCCCUUAAAACCGAUUUUUAAGCGUUUUUAGCACAUAGUUUGAGUUAAAACUAUAUUUGGCAUAUAAAACUUAUUACCCACUGAUGUUUUAAGCUAAUUUAUAUAAUUAAAUAGUAAGCCAAAUUUUUUAAACUCAGAAGUGUAUUUUGACCUUUAAAGCCUAUGUGAAAUUACCAAAAUGCCCCUACGGCACAUAGUUUGGUUACAUAAGAUAAAUUUCACAUAUAUAAAAUACCCUACUGAUAUAACUUAUAAAAAUGCAUAUUUUUACUGAUUAAACCAGACCUGAAACUCAGUUUAAUAUUUAAACUCUUUUAUGGGCAUUAAAAUUACCAAAAUGCCCUUAUGGGACUUAUUUUGGUUUAAAUUACUUUUUAGGCAUAUAUGUUAAUAUAUUACUGAUGUAUUAACAUAUUUUGAGCAUAAUAAUGAUUAAGACAUGUAUAUAAUUUAUUUGGUUACCCGUUACGCGUUUAUGCGUUCGAAUCGGUUUAUGUGACUAGCUUACGUAAAAUAGCCGAAACGGGCUUAACCUAUUCAUUAAGUUCUCAUUUUCCAGAAUGUGUUUAGUUUACCCAAAUUAUACAAGUAUCCAAGCUUGUCGGGUCUAAACCACAUUCUAUUCCGGUCUCCGCUUAAUCUGGCGUUUAGAACUGUAAGGUUUCCUUCUAGCUAGCCGGUCUAAGUCCUUGACUUAAUUAAAGACCCGUUAGCAUCCUAAUAGGUUAAUAAACCUUCUAUACAGAUUAAAUAGCUUCCGGUAGAAGGUGCCUUCAAAAAACUUUAGGAAUUUUACUGCUAGCAUCAGGUAAAUACUUUUAACUUAUUUUCCCUUAUACGGGCUUGGGAUACGGUAUUAUAAUAAUACCGCUUGGUCGGGUAUGAGAUUAUUUAAUCGGAUUGUGAUGUAAUAAAUCUGCAUAACCCGUUUUAAUCUGUAUUGUUUGAUAACAUAAACAUUGGGGUUAACGACCGUGUCCUGGAUAUCCUCGGCUCAUUUAAGUUAUUAAUGGCCACGACCUAUGCACGGGGUGCAAGCAUGCACCUGAUAGAUGCAAAUGCUAAAUAUUAAUUUACCCACAAGUUGGGGAUAACUCCUCUGUGGGUUUUAUAAGUGGUGAGUCAGUUAAUCUUGACUGGCUUCCAAACCGGCCCCAUAUGUGUGACAAACAUGUAAAACUGUAUACAAGAUUUUAUUAAAGAUUGUCCCAAGUUAUAAAUGGUUUGUGCCAUGUGCACUUAAAUCAAUUUUUAUAAACAUUUUCAAAAGAGUCAGUUAAAUUGUAUUUACCGGUGUAAACUGGCGUAUUUUCUUAAAGACUGAUUGACAGGUACCUCUUGAAUAGGCUGGAGCUAUAGGGUGUCAUAAAGGAUCUUGGAAAUCCAUAAGAUACCUGAAGUCUGUUGUUUUUGUUUCUUUGUACAUUUAUGAUCCGCCUGUGGAUCUUAUUACAUUCCAGUCUUUAUAUUUAUAAACUCGAACACUCAGACAUUAUGGUUUGUAAUAGUUUAUUCACCAAGCCUUACGCUGUGCUAUAAUAUUGUGUGUAUU